UAGGAUGUUACAAGAUAUUGAAUAUAGUUCCCUGUGCUACACAGUAGGUCUUUAUUAUCUGUUUUAUAUAUAAUAGUGUGUAUCUGUUAAUCCCAAAGUCCUUAUUUAUCCCUCUUCCCCAGAUCAUGUGUUUUUCACUCUUCAGUUUGUUACUGUGGUGCAUCACACUGAUUGAUUUAAGGAUACUGACAAACCCCUGCAUCCCUGGGAUAAAUCCCCCUUGACCAUGCUGUAGGAUCCUUGCAACGUAUCGUAGGAGUUGGUUUGCUAGUAUUUUGUUGAAGAGUUUUGCAUCCAUAUUCAUCAGUGAUGUUGGCCUGUAAUUUUCUUUUUUUGUGUGUGAUAUUUUUGGUAUCAGAGUGACGGUGGCCUCAUAGGAUGAGUUUGGAAGUGUUCCUUCCUCUUCAGUCUUCUGGGAUAGUUUCAGAAGGACGGGCAUUCGCUCUUCUCUGAAUAUUUGGUAGAAUUCACCUGUGAAGCCAUCUGGCUCUGGAAUUUUGUUUGCUGGGAGUUUUUUAAUUACUAGUUCAGUUUCAGUGCUGGUAACUGGCUUGUUCAUAUUUUCUGUUUCUUCCUGGUUCAGGCUUGGGAGAUUGUGCCUUUGCCCGUCUUACUGGCAUAUACUUAGUUGCUCGUAGUAGCCUCUUAGGAUCCUUUGUAUUUCUGUGCUGUCAUUUGUAAUUUUUCUUUGUCAUUUCUCAUUUUACUGAUUUGGGCCCUCUCCCUUUUCUUCCUUGAUGAGUCUGGCUAAAGGUUUAUCUAUUUUUUUUCAUCUUUUCAGAGAACCAGCUUUUGGCUUCAUUCUCUUCCCCCCCCACCCUGACCCCCACCCAUAUUAUCUAGGUGAACAGAAUAUAGGUACUCAUUGCACUAUUUUUUCAAGUUUUCUAAGUGUGGAAAUUUUCCAAAUAAAAGUUGGGGUAAAAUGCCAUUGUGUCUACACCCUGUCUCUGUCACUCCUGUAUCCUAAUUCUACAGUGGGGCCCUACUGACCCACAAUUUCUUGGUAACACGUUUUCUCUCACCUUUGGCUGUUUGCAUGUAUUGCUCCCAUUGCCUGGAUGUAUCAUCUGGCCUCCCCCUCUUCCUUCACACACCGACUUUGCCUGUAUAACUCCCAGAAGAUUUUUUUAAGAUUUCACUUCCUCCAGGAAGCCUUCCUUGACCACCUAGUCCCACUCAAGCCUAGGUUGAGAGCCCUUCAUUUAUUCCCUUUAUUGUGAUUGUCUUCAUUAUUGCCCUUGCCAUAAAAUAUUAUACCUGCCCAUUAAACUUAUUUGUCUUCACUGCACUGUGAGUUCCUUAAAGGCAAGAAUUAUGACUUACUCAUCUUUUUGUCCUCUGUGAUUACUGUGGGGCCUCAUACAAUAUUUAUUAAAUAAAUCAACGAUUAGUUUUUCUAUGAAAUGCAUAUUUAUUUCAUAUAAUUCCAUUUAAAAGGAAAAAAUGAGAAAAAAUAAAGUGAGCCUUGAUGUUUUAUUUAGCCUGUAAAGCUUUACUGCUGAUAACAGUAUAAUUUCAGGUUAGACCUUUAUAAAUAGUAAAAAUAGUUCCCAAAUUCCUAGUAUGAACCCCAUAAAACUCUUGGUGAAAUGUCCCUGACGGUCCAAAGAGAAAUCGGUUGGUUGUUUCUCUCAGCUCCAGCUGAGCUGUUUCUGCCUCUCUGUUGUAGCAUUCUGGGAGGGUUGGUGGGGGAGAUCCAAAAUAGGAAGCAAGGGUGUGGUUUUUCAGUUUUGGAGCUUGGUGAGAGAUAUAGCCUCAUGAGUGAUACUAAUCAUUUUUCCUUACAUUCAUACCAUUUUUUUUUUUUUUGCAGUUUACAGUGCACUUAUUCCUCGCAAAAGCCCUGUGAAAUAGACAUUAUUCCUCCAUUUUAAAGAUGCUGCUAAUAAAAGCCAGAAGGUGCUAUGAAGGUUUUCUUGUGAGAAGAGGAAGAGACACCAGGGAUGCAAGUGCACAGAGAAAAGGGCAUGUGAGGACACACUGCAAAGGUGGCUGUCUGCAAGCCCAGGAGAGAGGCCUUAGAAGGAACCAAAGCUGCUGACACUUUGCUCUUGGAUUUCUAGCACCCAGAACUGUGAGAAAAUUUCUAUUGUUUGAGCCAGCCACAGCCAGGCAGUGUAAUAACUGUUUUUUAUGAAUUAUCUCUUUAAUAGUCACAGUUACCAAAUGAGGCAGGCACUACUGAGACAGGGACUCCCAACAUAAUUUUGCUCACAGUAGGAAUGCGUUCAGAGUAGGCUUAGGCCUGACCCUGAAAGUAAGUAGGUGGAAUGCUCUGGCUCGUAAAUGGCUGAGGUGGGGAGAGGGUUUAAAUGGAGCCAAGCACUUUCCUAACACGUGCAUCUCUCUCCUGGUUGUGUCUAACCAUGUUUACUCCUUGUUCCUUACGUUACGGGGGAGUGGUAAGCCCUAAUGUACCAGGGCAAGCCUUUGCAAGGGUUUACACGCUGGACUGAUAAGUCCCUUCUGAUCACUCACUAUUCACUUCUAAUUUUUUCCUCUAUUUUGGUCUCUUUCUUACUCAUCUCCAGGGAUUAGCCAGGUAAAUAUAUUUGCAAAUAACUAUUCUUUUUCCUUUCCUAUACAUAUUACUGGUUAAAAUGUAUGUCUCAAAGGUUAUCAAAGUUCAGAAACAGAUACAAGUACAUAUAUAAGAACAUCAAUAUAGUAAACUAUUUUAAAAAGUUAUUGGGGGUGACACUAAGUUAAUUAAUAAAUAGUAUUAGAGAAUCACUUGAAAAAAGUUAACUCCCUUCCCUCAGAUGAUACUAAAUUAAUUUCAGGUGGAAUAAUGGUUUAAGUGUUAAAAAAGAAACAUGAAAGUAUUAAAAAAUGAGAAGAUGGACAUUUUUAUAUAAUCUAGGGGUAUAGAAAUCAUGUUGAAACAUGUAAACAUAAGUACUAAAAGAAGAAAUAAGCGGAAAAAUUGAUAGACUUGAUUAUAUAAAAGCAAUAUGGUUGGUCAUGGCAGAGUGGACAGGACCGUCUGCAGUCCAGUACUCAACAUCUGUAGAUUCAAGGAAGAAUUUAUAAUAAUUAAACCUAUUCUUUCCAGGUGUGUUUGAGGUCAGUUAACAUAGAACUUAUAAACUGGUCUCAGGAGACAUUUUGGAUCAUCUGGUGAAGACUUCACCUCAGCAGAUUACAACCAUCUUCUGAAGUCUUGGAGAUAGUCCCCAAGGAAUUGUUGGGAACACGGCAGCGUGGUGUUCUUAGAGUAAGUUGGGAAGGGGCUUGCAAUUUCACUGCCAGGCCCUUUGUGAGUCAGGGGAGGGCGGUGGUGGAAAAUACCCAGUGGUAAUGGAGAAUGCAUUGCGGUCCGUGCAGGGAGGGGCCGAUCUUCCCUGCAGACGGCUGCAGGGCUUCAUGAGCAAUGCAGCCAAGAGUUCGCGAUGAAUCCUCAUAGUUUAACACAUAUAAGAACAUGAUAGCCAAUAUUUAUAUGAUGUUUUAAACUUUUUAUGGCACUUUUACACAUGUCCAUACUUUUUUAGGAGUAGUAUGGGUUGUGAUGGGAGAUUUGAGUUUGAAUGCUUUUUCAGCCUGUCGGCUGUAUGAUCUUUGGUGAGUUGCUUAACCUCUCAGGACCUGUUUUCUCCUCUGUAAAAUGAUGGUGAUGGUGAUGUUGCUAGCGUCAAGGUGAUACCUACCUUAUAAAGUAAGGACUGAUUGAGAAAUACCUAGUAUGAUGUUUGAUGUUUAAGAUGUAGGAGGCACUUGAUUUCCGUUCCUUCUCUAAGGGGUGAUUGUGUCAGUGGGCCUCCAAUUUCCACAACAGUUACAUGUCUAUACAGGUAAUGGACUCUCUUCAGAUAUGUCUCGUGUAACACGGUGAUUCUUAACACCAGCCAUGGGGGUGGAGGUGGUGAUGCCUCUGUUAAAAGGCACCUCUCCACCCUCCCUGAGAAUCACUGGUCUGUACUUUGAUACCUGAAGGAUCUCCCACUAGUUUGAUAUUUUUGUUUGAUAUUUUCACUCACAGUUUUAUUUCAGUGAAGUGAGGAUUUGCCUCCCUGGGAAGAUAAUACAUUAAGUUAAUGAAGAAGGUAGUAGUCAGUAUGUUACCUUCUCCUGUGUAGCUAGUUACCAGGGAGCUUUGUGUGUGUGGUGAGGGUCAGGGGAGGUGGUGUAUGUGGGGGAGUUUUGAUGGAAAGACAGAGUACUCAGGGCCCAGAGGAGAGCCGAUUGAGCUGUAUGGAAGAAAAUGAAUAAAAGGGAAGGUGAGAGGAACUGAAGACGAUUGCCUUUUUUCUCAAUAGGUCCUCAGCAGACUGUGAGCCUCAUUUGGCUUCUCAUGGGGCAUCUACUGCCUCUCAGUAGAAACUGCUCCCUUUAUGCUGUAAAUCUGUCGCAUUUCCAGUCUCACCUACCCUAGGUGUGAGACCUGACCCACCGCUUGAGUCAUACGGUUAUCUGAGCCAACUCAUAUUAAGUACCAUGAGGUCCUGGAAUUUUAUCUGUCAAAACCUAAUAGUUCUCCCUAUAAUGAUACAUAAAUGACUGCAAAUAAAUCUUCGUAGCUGCAAAUAUAGAAGACAAAGAGAAAAGACAUGGUCUUGGUUUCCUAUGAACUGCUCACAGGCUAGAUUAACUGAGCAUCACUUUUGGCUUAUUCUGAAGAACAGAUAUAGGACUAAGGUAUCCAUCAAGUUCUUAUUUGUAUUGUUUAGAGUUUUGGGUAAGAGACUUUAUAACUGAAAAUGCUAAGGAUACUUCUUAGGCCAGGCAGUUAGAGUUGAGCUGAAGAGAGAAGCUAAGCUGAAGGUCAGGUUAUGACUUUGAGAAGACAUAGACUCCUGUAGUGAUAACUGCAGACCCCCUUCUAAGCUGUGACUUAACUCCUGUGGCCCAGCAGACACUCAGAAAACAAGGCUUCCAGGAGUGUCUGCUUGAUCCCUUUUAAGAGCAAACUUCCAAGGACUACCUGGGCCUCCACCCUUAUUUUGUCGUCGUCAUGGUUCUUCAUUGCUGAGUACUUGGACACUUUGAAAAUGAUGACAGAAUAAGGGUGGAAGUCUCCGAGUACUCAGUAGUGAAGAACAGUUGACAAAACAGUGUGUGCUUUUGUGUUAAAUUGCAUAUAUAGACUAAAGAAGAGAAUAAAAUCAUGGUGCCUCGGACCAUUCAGGGACAGCUUCAUGGGGAAAGAAGAAUUUUUGCUUGAAGGAGGUAGAAUUCAAAGAAAGACAAGAGAGCAUAUCUAAAGUUCUGUUUUUGGUGACUGUUAAUUUUUACUCAUGGCUCCCAUACUGAAACUCCUGGAGAUGAUUGCUGUGAACGAGGGAAUAAGACACUGUUAGAAGGAACAAGACCUUCAGGUGAAUAGUAAGAUAGGCUGAAUUAGAGUAGCCAGUCGGAUGUAUGGAGACUUCACCAGCUGGAGGGAGAUUAGAAAUUACAAAUUUCAUUAAUAGAACCAAAGCACACCACACAUGCCACUGGGCAGAAGCCUUAUUAUGCAAUAAUGAUGCCCCAGCAUCCCCCAAUUUAUGCACAGAUUGGGGUCACUGCGCACUUACAAUGAGUCUGGGUACAGGUGGUAGCCAGUGCUGCUGCCUGAAGUUUGACUUGUUGAAAUGUCUUAGCUCCUGACAUCAUUCAGAUUUGAGCUUCCCUGAUGAUCGUGAUGUACAUCGUAUUCUGGUCCUUCUACUUCAGCUCAUACAAUGCAUCUGUGCACAACACUGUGUUCCCGACAAGGUCAGGGAGGUUACCUGGGGUGGGAGUGGUUAUGCUUGCUUUCACCGUUUGCUUUCUCAGUGUGGUUCAGCAUUAUUCUCUUCCUGCAGAAGGCCUAUAGGGAACAAGCUGGAAAUGUAGCAGAGUUGUUGCAAAAGUCCUCUGGGAAUUCUCCCUUUGGCAAUUCAGUUUUCUAUAGAUUUUAUUCCUCCACCAACUACCACUGUGAUUUUUGGCAAGUUACAUUGCCGGAGGAUGGCCAGUUACCGCCCCUUUACCCUGGGCCUCGAGGUCUUCACCUAAAAGGUGAAAGGACUAGGAAAGAGGAUUCUGAGAUUUGAGAAUUUGAUAAUUCCUGAGAAGUAAAAGUCAGACUUUUUGAUCCCAGAGCAAUGUGUUUGUCCACCUAUACUUAUUCUCCCACAUUUAUCUGCCAUGAGCCUACUGUCACCACUGAUUUUCCCAGAUGGAGACCUGGCAGUAAAGCCUAAUGCAGUUUCCUUAAGAAACAGGACCUAGCCACCUUGCGCAUGCUCACAGGCUCCCGUCAUUCCCUCCCAUUCGUUAUCCAUUCAUUCAACAAACAUUUAUUGAAGGCCCGUUAUGUGCUAGGUACUAAUCUUUAGAUCCUGAUCUAUGGCUUUUUAUCCAUCUUCCCUUUCCUACACCUCUGAAAACCAGACAGACAAUAGCACAGGGAAUGUGUAUUUCAUCAUUCUAGUGAACUCUAAAAUGAAGUAGUCCAAGUGCCAGGGAGGCAGCGGUCAAUAUGCGAAAAGUCUGGGAAGGAGGCUGGAAACAUUCUUUUUUUUAAAACAUCAUCGAAGUUUUGUUCCUCAGGGUCUCAGUUCAAAGUUUCAUUGCCCCUGCUUGGAGAAGUCUAUGGGUUUCAAGGAAGUUACAUGUUAUUAUUGGCCUUACUCUGAAUUUUGCCUAGGCGGGGUCCUGAAACCUAAGUUCAGAGUGAGAUGGAACUCAGGCAGCGCUCUCACAGGACUUGAUUUGUAGAGAAGGGAAAGGAACGUAGAAGCUCAGGCAGCUGAAGAUAAUCCCAUCAGGAAUUCUUGGCUGCCUGAAGCUGAGACCUGGCUCUGUGCUGAGGCAGCCGCCCAAGAAACAGAGGCUAAUGCCUGUUUUAGGAAGCAAACAGGUUUGUUUGCUCCCCUCUCUUCUAGAUCUUUUUCUACUCUACAUCAGAGCUUCUUAAUCUCAGCACGAUUGACAUUUUGGGCUGGAUAAUUCUUUCUUGUGGGCAGACUGCCUGUACGUUGUGAAGUGUUGAGCAGCAUCCCUGGGUCCUUUUUAUCCACUAGGUGCCAAGAGCACCCCCAGCCCUCCCCAAGCUGACAACAUAAUUGUCUCCAAAAUUUUCAGAUGUCCCCUGGGGUGGUGCAGAGUUACCCUGCUUGAGUCCCACUGCUCCAGAUGCUGUUGAGAGCUGAGGUGAUCACUGUCCAUGCAGAAAAGAAAGUAGAAACCUCAAACCUUGUGAUGGCAUGAUGCCCCGUGCAGUCAAGAUGAGCGGUCCUUUCCUGGACCAUUCAAGGGGGAACAUCAUCUGAGAAGUAAAAUGCCGUUAGUUUGUUUUUAAAAAUUUAGAAAAUCAGUGUCACCCAACUAAUGUAAACAUUUUUUAUGUUAAAAUCAUUUUCCACAUAUCCUAAACAUAUGCCAGGUGGGAGGAGGUGCCAAGGCACUUUUGCAUUGUAAUGAAAAGUGAAUCAUUUGAACCAUCAGUAAAAUGCAGCCACCUCUGAAUUGUGAAGUGGCAGCUGAUUAGCAGCAGCUUACUGGAUCCACCACAGUUUAAUUUGUGGAUUAUAAAAUGUGUGUAUAUUGCAAUCAGAACUUUCUAGGAACUUCCUCAGAGCAACAUUACAGCAAUAUAGCUGAGGAUUCAGAGACAAGAGAGAUGUAAUAUCCCAUUUUCUCACUCCCCUGACGGGGAUGGCUAUGGGGAGGUCCCUGAGAUAUGGGAAUAUACAUGUCUCCACAAGCAUUUUACUUAGUAGUCUUAAUACACUUCUCUAGUUCAGAUGAACUGUUUUCCCAACUUUUAAUAUAUGUCUUUGAAGAUAAAUUUAUCUUGUUCAUAUUGAAGUCUUCUGUGGGUUGCUUUUGGCUGCUUCUUGCUUGAUCUUAUUUUUUCACUCCAGACUUCUCAAACAUGAAUUCAUUUCCCCCCAGAAAUAUAAAAGUAGGUCAUAUCUUGUGGUGAAAUAGUUCUGCAGAUUCCUGGGAUUCUGAAAAUAACAGAAUAACAGCAAUAAGAUACCAUUACAGCCAUUCAGCAAACAUUUAUUGAGAAUGGACAGUCUCCCUUCCACUGCAUGAGUGUAUCUCUCGUUCAGAAAUGGGCUUGUUUUUCUGUGUUUGAUGAUAGUCUGUUGAGACCACAUGGUAUCAUGGGUUGCUGGGUGAAAGAAAAUGGCUUGAGUCUCCCCUUGAGAUAGAGGACCAUCCUCAGAGCAAACAGGAACUGAGAGAGGAACUAGGGGCAGGCUCCUAGGUAGAAGCAAAAAGAUCUCAGCCAGGGAAUGUGUGUGACCUAAAGUGUCAUGAUCGGUUAUUAUGUAUAUUUCUUGUAUGACCUAUUCAUUUACUUGAAAAAAUUAAUUUAAGGUUAUCCCUCUAUAGUUCUAGAGAGAGAGAGAUGGAGCUGCAGUUGACCAGGUAACAAUGUGUAACCAUGUGUGUACUGCAUGCAAACACCAACUGUGACAUGUAUGCCAUGGAUCAUUAAAAAAAAAGAUUGCAAAUUACUCUAAGGGAAUACAAGAUAAAGACAAAUAAGGUACAUUUUGUAGGUCAGAUUAUCUAGUUGCAGGAUAUUAAAAACUCAUUUACAGUAUUGUGGGAAACAAGGAAAGAAGGGCUUCUACUAAUGAGAUCCUCAAGGGAUAGUUCCUCAGAGAAAUCUUCCUCCAUUGACAAUCAUGGAGGUCAGAAGUGAUGGAAACAGGCAGAUUUCCUCACAGAGAAUUCUGCUUUUGUGCACUGCACCACAGUAAGUGGAGAACAGGAGAAGGAAUGAAAAGUAGAGCAACACAUCCCUAGCCAAGAUGGUGGAGUAGAAGGACCCUGAGCUCACCUCCUCUCACAGGGACACCAAAAUCAACCAUUUGCAGAACAACCAUUGAUGAAAAAGACUGAAGCUACCAGAAAAGAUGUACAACUAAAGACGUAAGUAAGGAACCACAAUGAGACAGGUAGGAAGGGCAGACUCACUAUAUAGUCAAAUCCCAUACCCCCGAAUGGGUGAUCCAUGAGCUAGAGAAUAAUUACUUUGCAGAGGAUCACCCAAAGGAGUGAGAUCUGAGCCCCAUGUGGUGCUUACCAGCCCAGUGGUCCCACACCAGGAAGAUGAGCCCCCAAACAUUUGGCUUUGAAGGCCAGCUGGGCUUACUUUUUUGAGAAUCAGAGGGCUGUUGGGUGGGGUCAGGUCUUGGCAUUAAUGAGCUAGAGGGAGAAUCCCACAAUGGCUCUUGCCAGCACCAGUGUCCACAUGGUAGAAGGAGCUCCCCAAAAGGGCUGCCACCAGUGCCUGUGUUCCCAAGGUGAUGUGCAGUUGCCUCCUGCCUCUCCAAGAGACUCUUCUGGAUCAGUAGGUAGGUCUGACCCAGGCUCCUAUCAGAUUACUGCUUCUGCCCUGGUUGCCAGAGCAUGUGAGACCCUGCCCUGGGGACCAGCUGGGUCCCAGCUCUGCCCACUAGCAGGUCAACACAAGCGUUGAGACACUCUGGACCUGAGACCCAACUGUGUUAGGAACUGGCCCCUCCACCAGCAGUGCAAUACCAGCUGGGUCUUAUAACCAGACUCCAAGACCUGGCUCUGCCCACCAGUCAACUGGCACUAACCCAAGGACCUGGCUUCACCCACCAGUGGGUGAGCAACAGCACCAGAGUCUUCUGGACCCUGACUCUACCCACCAGUGAUACAGCACUAGGCCCAAGGCUCCUGGAUUUCCACAGUCAGCUGCCUCAUAAACUGGCCCUGCCAACCAGCAGCUGGCAGCCUCCACAUGAAGCAAGGCCUGGCAACCACUGGCCUGGGGGUCAACGAAGCCUACUAGACUUCCCACCUAGUCAGCCCACCACAACAGAAGGACCCACACAGCCUUCAUGGGAAGAACUCUAGAGCAUACAGCUCAGGUGACGAGAGAGAUGUGUCUGUUGGUAUGCAUAGGACAUCUACAACAAAUCACUUCUCAAAGGUCAGAAAAUGUAACCAACCUGCCAGAUACAUAAAAAUACAAAUAGGAACUUAGGCAAAAUAAGGCAACAGAGGAACAUGUUCCAGAUAAAGGAACAAGAUAAAAUUGCAGAAGAAGAACAAAUAAAGUGGAGAUGGGCAAUCUCCCCAAGACAGAGUUCAGGGCAGUGAUUGUAAAGAUGAUCAAAGAACUAGGGAGAAGGAUGGACACAGAGAAGUUAGCAGCUUUUAAAAAAGAGUUAGAAAAUAUAAAGAACAACCAGCUAGAGAUGAAGAAUAUAAUAACUGAAAUGAAAAAUACAAAUAAAAAGAAAAGGCCAAAACUAGGAACAUGAACAUUAUGAAAGGAAAAAAGCUCACAGGUAAAGGCAGGCAUAAAGGUAGGGAAUCAUCUCACACACAAAACUAGUAGUAAGAAGGCUAAAAGACAAAAGUAAAAUCAUCUGUAUCCUCAACAAACAGUUAAGAGACACACAAAAUAAUUAGGUGUAAAAUAUGAUAUCAAAAACAGUAAUUGCAAGGGGAGGAGAGUACAAAUGCAAGGUUGUGAAAAUGCAUUUGAAAUUAAGGGAUUAGAAACUUAAUUAUAAAUAUGUAUAUGUAUAUAUAUAUGGAUUGCUAUAUAAAUAUCUCAUGGUAAUGACAAACCAAAAACCCAUACUAGAUACACACAAAAGAAAAAGGAAUUCAAACAUAACACUAAAGAUGGUCAUCAAAUCACAAGAGAACAACAGGACAAAAAAGACCUACAAAACAACCCCCAAACUAUUAACAAAGUGGCAAUAAGAACACACAUAUUAACAAUUACUUUAAAUGUAAAUGGACUAAAUGCUCCAGUCAAAAGAAAGAAAUAAAAACUGGUGCUGAAUUGAUA